rnacentral:lncRNA from 1 species
UGUUUUUUUGUAAUCCCAGACCAUCUGGGCUAGGAAAUCUGGAAACCUCAAGUAUUUUGGUUUCUUUUCCCUAGAUGUAAGCCCAGAGUCUGUGGUUGUUUCCAUUAUUUCUCUUCUCUGGAAUACUGUUCACUCUCUGGAGGUAUCAGAAGCCCCAAACUUCAAAAUCAGUGACUUCUAUGGCAGCUGUGUUGUAUAAAGUGAUGGGUGUGGUUGGCAGGCAGUAAGUCUUAUUUCCUUAUGCCUUCUGUUUCCAGAAGAGAAAGCUUGUGAGGAGCCUGGCCUCUUCUGGCCCUUGUUGUAAUCAGUUCUUCCCACAUUUUGAUCAUCUUAUUUCCUCUUUGUUUGGUGUUUUAUUUUUUAGGGAAAGAAAAUAAUCUUUAUUACUUUCCAAGGCCAGAAUCUUCACAGAAGGUGGCUAGGGCAGGUUUCUACAACCUUUAAAAAUUAUUUAAGAAAAUAUCUUCUGUAUUUAUUUGUAUGUGGAUGUGGGGGGUGGGGUGCUGUCUGGAGGUCAGAGGACAACUUGUGAGAGCUGGCUCUCCUUCCACCAUGUGGUUUCUGGAGUUACUAUAUAUUGGGGUAGCAAGUACUUUGACACACUGUUUAUUAUUGGGACAGGGUCUCCAGCACCCUUGGCUGGCCUCCAGCUCUGUGGCUGAGCGUGUCCAGGAACUUAUCAUGAUCCUUCUGCUUCUACUCCUAGAGUGCAGUGCCAGGUUGGGAUUGCAGGCACUUCCACCAUCCUUGGUUUAUGUUUGUACAUCUGGGAUAGGCAAACUUCCCAGUUGAGCUAAAUCUCUAGCACUGGUCCACAGACCUAUAAAAGUAUUUUG